rnacentral:rRNA from 1 species
CUUUUAGUAGGGAAGAAGCGAAAGUGACGGUACCUGCAGAAAAAGCACCGGCUAACUACGUGCCAGCAGCCGCGGUAAUACGUAGGGUGCAAGCGUUGUCCGGAAUUAUUGGGCGUAAAGAGCUCGUAGGCGGUUUGUCGCGUCUGCUGUGAAAACCCGAGGCUCAACCUCGGGCCUGCAGUGGGUACGGGCAGACUAGAGUGCGGUAGGGGAGAUUGGAAUUCCUGGUGUAGCGGUGGAAUGCGCAGAUAUCAGGAGGAACACCAAUGGCGAAGGCAGAUCUCUGGGCCGUAACUGACGCUGAGGAGCGAAAGCAUGGGGAGCGAACAGGAUUAGAUACCCUGGUAGUCCAUGCCGUAAACGUUGGGAACUAGAUGUGGGGACCAUUCCACGGUCUCCGUGUCGCAGCUAACGCAUUAAGUUCCCCGCCUGGGGAGUACGGCCGCAAGGCUAAAACUCAAAGGAAUUGACGGGGGCCCGCACAAGCGGCGGAGCAUGCGGAUUAAUUCGAUGCAACGCGAAGAACCUUACCAAGGCUUGACAUAUAGAGGAAACGGCUGGAAACAGUCGCCCCGCAAGGUCUCUAUACAGGUGGUGCAUGGUUGUCGUCAGCUCGUGUCGUGAGAUGUUGGGUUAAGUCCCGCAACGAGCGCAACCCUCGUCCUAUGUUGCCAGCACGUAAUGGUGGGAACUCAUGGGAUACUGCCGGGGUCAACUCGGAGGAAGGUGGGGAUGACGUCAAAUCAUCAUGCCCCUUAUGUCUUGGGCUUCACGCAUGCUACAAUGGCCGGUACAAAGGG